rnacentral:rRNA from 1 species
UAAGACUGCCAUCCCAAAGUCUAACAGCAGCAGAUCCUGUCUGAUUUUGGAAGUUAAGCAGGGUUGGCCCUGGAUAGUAAUUGGAUGGGAGAUCACCAAUGAAUAUCAGGUUUUGUAUACU